rnacentral:rRNA from 1 species
CCUACGGGAGGCAGCAGUGAGGAAUAUUGGUCAAUGGACGAGAGUCUGAACCAGCCAAGUAGCGUGAAGGAUGACGGCCCUAUGGGUUGUAAACUGCUUUUAUAUGGGAAUAAAAUGUUCCACGUGUGGGAGUUUGUAUGUACCAUAUGAAUAAGGAUCGGCUAACUCCGUGCCAGCAGCCGCGGUAAUACGGAGGAUCCGAGCGUUAUCCGGAUGUAUUGGGUUUAAAGGGAGCGUAGGUGGAUUGUUAAGUCAGUGGUGAAAGUUUGGGGCUCAACCGUAAAAUUGCAGUUGAAACUGGCAGUCUUGAGUGCAGUAGAGGUAGGCGGAAUGCGUGGUGUAGCGGUGAAAUGCUUAGAUAUCACGCAGAACUCCGAUUGCGAAGGCAGCUCACUGGACUGCAACUGACACUGAGGCUCGAAAGUGUGGGUAUCAAACAGGAUUAGAUACCCGUGUAGUC